rnacentral:rRNA from 1 species
AGUAAUGCUUGGGAAUCUAGCUUAUGGAGGGGGAUAACUACGGGAAACUGUAGCUAAUACCGCGUAGAUCGAGAGAUGAAAGUGUGGGACCUUCGGGCCACAUGCCAUAGGAUGAGCCCAAGUGGGAUUAGGUAGUUGGUGAGGUAAAGGCUCACCAAGCCGACGAUCUCUAGCUGGUCUGAGAGGAUGACCAGCCACACUGGGGCUGAGACACGGCCCAG